rnacentral:lncRNA from 1 species
ACCAGGCUCUGUUGCGGGAGACUGAUCUUGCAGUUUCCUUAGACCUCCCAGCCAUAAAACACAGAGCAACAGAAUCCCAAGAAAAUAAGGCCACAGGGAAGAAAAAGAAACGAGCUCUGGCCUGCAAUAGCAACUUCUUCUCUGGUUGCUCUCCUGCCAAAGAAGAGGCGUGCUGAGAUAUGGUCAGCUCUAUCCACAUCUGGCCUGACAGAUACUUUCAAGUUGCAGCAGGGAGUGGUUUCUACUGACUUCCCUGGACCUUCCUUUUCUUUGUACUGAGAAAAAGGGACAAGGUGUUACUGAAAGAGCACCUUUUGUCUUCAGACCCCUAGUUGGUACCUCUAUUCUCUUCUUCAGAAUGGACACCAUCUAUGAAAGGCCCAUGGACACUUCAGGAAACCAUCUUCAGGUCAUUGCAGCUCUUUCUUUGUGAUUAAUCAAUUCUAUCUGCUCAUGGAUACGAGCCUGAGGUCUGCAAGCUUAACAUAAAGCCUGGUUCAGGUGGGAGGUGGGGGUUCAACUUCUUGACCCCACUUCAGAAACCAGGCUGGGAUAAUUCCUAUCCUGAUUCUUUCUGGAUUUUAAAUGUUUUAAUAGGACCCCCAAAUUGUUUUCAUUUUAAAAUGUUGAAUAAAUUAACCUUAGCUAUUCC